AACCCCUUCUGUGUUAACAAAAUAGUCAAAACUACAGAGAAAGGUAGGAGCGAGCUCUGGUGUCACGGCCGAGUUUGCAAAGCAUUAAACCAAUAAAAACUACAGUUGUCGAAUUGAGCGAGAGAUUCUCUCAUCGGAAGAACACAUCCGAAGGCUGUCGUUAGGUAUCAUUAUUUGGUGAAAAAUCGCAGAAUGGGCACAAAUCGGCGAACAAUCAUCUCAGUGCUGUUGCUGCUGCUUUCACUGUCACCCAAUUCUCUCGCUUACAGGCCCGGAGACCUCGUCCCCAUGAGCAAAAUGGGUCAAUACCACUCUUCGAGAACUGUUUGGCAUGACAUGAUCGGUCGUCACUGCCCAAUCUUUGCCGUGAAUCGCGAGGUGUUGAUUCCUAUCCCGAAACCCACUGGUUUCACUGGUGCUGAUCCGUAUAAAUUAUCCUUUCAGGUGGGAAGAGAAAAGUUUCUGAUUCCAUGGCUUCUUGUGAUAAAUCGAAAGAGUUCUGAGGUUCCAUUGAUUGAUGUUCAUUUGAGAUACUCAGGGAGCGACUUGCAUGGUGUCACUGCCAAAGUUAUAGAUAUGCCACACCACUAUAUUGAGAUUCAUCAAGACAUUAGUAAACAUUUUUGGGAUCCACAACAUUGGCCAAAACACGUGCUUGUUAGAUACACAUGGGAGGAGCAGUCAGAUAUAGAUGUUGCUUCCGGAUUUUAUGUUUUGUUUGGAUCAGGGCUUGUUUUGUCUUUUGUUCUCUCAAUCUACAUCUUGCAAUCAUCUCGGGAUAAAUUAGCAAGAUUUAUGAGGGAGACUAUUGCGGAAAGCAGCAUCCCUGCUGGAGGAGUAGCCAAAGUUGAAUGAUGGACCUAUAUGCAGUUACAAAAUACCAUCUUUUGCACAAGGCUAUCAAGUUUUAAAGAAAUGGGACUAGGGAGUGAGAAUUUGUUUUCUACAUUGAAUGUGAAAGGAAGAUUGUAUGCAUUAUUGUGGGACCUUUCAAAGAAGAUAUACCUCAAGGGUCAGGUUUCUGUAAUGAUCAAAUAUACUUAUAAAUGAAGACUUAUAUUUAUAUACAUUAGAAA